GACGAACGCUGGCGGCGUGCUUAACACAUGCAAGUCGAACGGAAAGGCCCUGCUUUUGUGGGGUGCUCGAGUGGCGAACGGGUGAGUAACACGUGAGUAACCUGCCCUUGACUUUGGGAUAACUUCAGGAAACUGGGGCUAAUACCGGAUAGGAGCUCCUGCUGCAUGGUGGGGGUUGGAAAGUUUCGGCGGUUGGGGAUGGACUCGCGGCUUAUCAGCUUGUUGGUGGGGUAGUGGCUUACCAAGGCUUUGACGGGUAGCCGGCCUGAGAGGGUGACCGGCAACAUUGGGACUGAGAUACGGCCCAGACUCCUACGGGAGGCAGCAGUGGGGAAUAUUGCACAAUGGGCGGAGGCCUGAUGCAGCAACGCCGCGUGCGGGAUGACGGCCUUCGGGUGGUAAACCGCUUUCGCCUGUGACGAAGCGUGAGUGACGGUAAUGGGUAAAGAAGCACCGGCUAACUACGU
rnacentral:rRNA from 1 species